rnacentral:tRNA from 1 species
GGGAUGUGGCUCAAGCAGUAGUGCGCUCACCUGGCAUGCGCGAGGUGCUGGGUUCGAUCCUCAGCCCCA